rnacentral:lncRNA from 1 species
AACAAGUCUAAACCUUUACUGCUGAUUUCAAUGACAUAGCUACAGUUGUAACUCACUGCUAAUUCUUGUCAUCCAGGCAUGCAUGCUCUGUUAGCGGCUUGACUUGCAGUCUCGAAGGUGUAAUUCACUGCUGAUUCUUGUGAUCCACUGCUUCAUUUUUUCUCUCGGUCUCAGCGUUUGGUUUGAGGUAUGAAUCUUGAACUUUUCAUUUCUUUGUCUGUCUUUGCCUUGGAUUGUGGCAUGUUCAUGUUGGUAUUUCUGAAGAUCAAGUUUUUGGGCUCUGGCAUGAUUAGAGAGGGUUAUAAAUCAUCAUUUCAUUGCAUGGGAAGCAUCGGUGUGCCCUUUACUUUUGAUCUUGAAAUAUGAGAAAAGGAUUAUAUGAGAGGGGCUAACACAGAAGUAAAGAGAAAUUACAUGGAAAAAAAACAGUAGGAACUUAAGGAGCAGUCCCUGUUCAUGCAUUUUAUGUCAAAAAGUGUGCUUUUCAACAUCACGACAUAGUUUUAGGAUUUAUAUUUGAUGUACUGACAGUCGAAAACUCCUUGACAUAUCGCAAAGCAGCAGAGGCCAUUGUGUGUAGUCUUCAACCGGAUUCACCAACUGUAUUAUGUUUGAUAUGUGGUUUGAAACAUUGAAAAAUUGUACAGCUGGACAGUGAGAUUUUGUUUGAAAUUUUGACUGUUAUACUUUGUUGUUUCAUCUUGUUUUUUGACAUUGAGUAUAAUAAUUUUUCUGUUAUACUUUGUUGUUUCAGAAAAUCCAUAGCCGUUGUGAUGUGUUGUUAGAAAUAAAUUGUUUGGAAUCAUUGCAUCAUGUUAAGGGUACUCUAAUGAUACAACAACUGAAUUCGUAUGUCAUUCAUGCCAUUGGAGACUUGUUGCAUUGAUAUUGAGAUAUUGGUAUUACACAUAUGCAUUGAGAAUGCGAUAGGAUGGCUAAUUGCUUAACAAAGGCUACAAAAGGAGUCCAUCAUUAGCUUUUACUCUUGUCCCGACCUCUUGAUUUUGCUUUGAAUGUAUGCAUGAGGAUGUUAUUGAUUUAUGUUUUCCUAGAUUGAUUGCUAUGUAAUAGCUUUUACUCUCCUUAAUAAAAAAAAAUAAAAAUGCAUGGACUAUAUCUUGUGUUUUUCCUCAAUAGCAAUGUUUAGACCUUAUUCAAUUUGAUUGGUGUUGGAUUUAGAUUUAAGAUAAACAUUAAAAACAAUAAAAAAAAAGUUGAAUUUGAAGUAUUGAUAGACACCAAUCGAUUAUAUUUUGAUUUAAUAAGUCCAACUGACUAAUUCCAAC